UACAGAGGGUGCAAACGUUGUUCGGAAUUACUGGGCGUAAAGCGCGUGUAGGCGGCUAUGUAAGUCGGGCGUGAAAUCCCACGGCUCAACCGUGGAAGUGCACCCGAAGCUGCGUAGCUAGAGUCCUGGAGAGGAAGGUGGAAUGCUUGGUGUAGAGGUGAAAUUCGUAGAUAUCAAGCGGAACACCGGUGGCGAAGGCGGCCUUCUGGACAGUGACUGACGCUGAGACGCGAAAGCGUGGGGAGCAAACAGG
rnacentral:rRNA from 1 species